CAAGAUCAUGUUUUCAUAUACACUAUAAAGUUACAGAAUGUCUUUUAACGAUUGCGCAAGCAGUCCAUUAAACCUAUACAACUUUCAGCAACGGAUCUCUUGGCUCUCCCUAUCCGAUGAAGAACGCAGCGAAAUGCGAUAAGUAAUGUGAAUUGCAGAAUUCAGUGAAUCAUCGAAUCUUUGAACGCACCUUGCGCCCUUUGGUAUUCCGAAGGGCAUGCCUGUUUGAGUGUCAUUAAAUUAUCAACCUUGCUCGCUUUUACUAGCUUGAGUUUGGCUUGGAUGUGAGGGCUUUGCUGGCUUCCUUCAGUGGAUGGUCUGCUCCCUUUAAAUGCAUUAGUGGGAUCUCUUGUGGACCGUCACUUGGUGUGAUAAUUAUCUAUGCCUUGAGACUUUGAAGCAAACUAAUGGGAACCUGCUUAUAACCGUCUUCGGACAAUCUCUGACAUUUUGACCUCAAAUCAGGUAGGACUACCCGCUGAACUUAAGCAUAUCAAUAAGCGGAGGAAAAGAAACUAACAAGGAUUCCCCUAGUAACUGCGAGUGAAGCGGGAAAAGCUCAAAUUUAAAA
rnacentral:rRNA from 1 species